CCUACGGGAGGCUGCAGUCGGGAAUAUUGCGCAAUGGAGGAAACUCUGACGCAGUGACGCCGCGUGCAGGAAGAAGGUUUUCGGAUUGUAAACUGCUUUAGACAGGGAAGAAACAAGACAGUACCUGUAGAAUAAGCUACGGCUAACUACGUGCCAGCAGCCGCGGUAAUACGUAGGGAGCACGCGUUAUCCGGGUUUAUUGGGUGUAAAGGGUGCGUAGACGGGAAGGCAAGUUGGUUGUGAAAUCCCGCGGCUUAACUGAGGAACUGCAACCAAAACUAGCAUUCUUGAGUGCUGGAGAGGAAAGUGGAAUUCCGAGUGUAGCGGUGAAAUGCGUAGAUAGUAGGAGGAACACCAGUGGCGAAGGCGACUUUCUGGACAGUAACUGACGUUGAGGCACGAAAGUGUGGGGAGCAAACAGGAUUAGAUACCCGGGUAGUC
rnacentral:rRNA from 1 species